UACGUAGGGGGCAAGCGUUGUCCGGAUUUAUUGGGCGUAAAGAGCGUGUAGGCGGCCAUACAGGUCCGUUGUGAAAACUGGAGGCUCAACCUCCAGACGUCGACGGAAACCGUUUGGCUAGAGUCCGGAAGAGGAGAGUGGAAUUCCUGGUGUAGCGGUGAAAUGCGCAGAUAUCAGGAAGAACACCGAUGGCGAAGGCAGCUCUCUGGGACGGUACUGACGCCAAGGCGCGAAAGCGUGGGGAGCGAACAGG
rnacentral:rRNA from 1 species